UGCUACGCGACUAGCCUCGUGUCAUUAAUAUGCAUAGCUAUCUCGAAACAACUCCGGUAUAAAGAGUUUUUUCUCAAAACUGUCGUGAUGUCACGUGUCCUACUUAUAUCAGUACACUGGUAACAUCGUAAGCAUUACGAAACCUGCCCAAGUAUUUGUGCGUUAGAGAUGUCGAGAAUGUAUGAUUUGUAUAUUCUCUAAAUAAAUACAAAUUUACAAGCGCCCGAAAAAAAUGACUUUUCGGCACCGCCAAUGUAGGCCUAAAUCCCUCAUUACUGCCACGCACAGGUCGGAAGUCUACAACAGCUCAAUACAUUGGAGGUGCCGAAGAGGAAUAUUUUUGUUUGCUUGUACGUUUUUAUUCAGAGCUUUUUUGGAAGUACAUACUGGCUGUACCGGGAGUAAAUGAAGAUAGUUGCCCAGCGAAACUUCAUAUUUGGGGGGGUAGAUGGCCAGGGCCUCCUGGAAGCUUUGCUCUAUGUCUGGGCUCCACACCCCCUCGGCGUCCCCGUCCAUGGCCUUGUCCAGCUCAUCGUUCCCCUCGUCCAGCCCAUCCCCCGGGCUACCGUUGGCACUCCACUCGUUGGACGCAAUGGUGGCGGCUCACCCUGGGCCCGACCCCGAGCCCCACAGUCAGAGGAUCUGGGAGAGAGAGACCUUCAUUAAAAUUUAUCAAUUUAGUCAUUUAGCACAGUAGUUGCCAAACUGUCCCCCCCCCCGCCCCAAAAAAGAGGAACUCAGUCCAGCUUUCAACCUACUCUUGAAAGUUGUAAUAGUAGAAUGCACAAGGUGCAAUUUCAAAAUUGGGUAGUGUAUCAUCAGUUUUCCUCAUCAUAUCAGUCAUUGCAUACCUUAGAGAGCUAUGUCAGCUAAUGUUUUUUUGGAUAGUUUUUUUUUAGCCCAUAGAUUUUGUUGUAAUGUUUGAGUCAUUAAAAUAUCACAUGAAUACACAUUAGACAUGGCAAAAUGUAUAGAAUUGCAAGACAAGUAGCUUUAAAACGGCAAUAUUUUCUCUGAUCCCCAUGACAAAAAGUGUAGAAUUGCAGGAAAUAAGCGUUAAACCUGGAAAAUGUUCUCUCCGCCAAUAAGAGGGGUGUGAACAGUUUGUGUCAAGAACAGUGCUUGUGCCCAUAGGAAUAUACAUAGUGCGCGCGCGCUUGCAGGUUUGACACUCUUAUCCAGAGUGAAUUACAGUAGUGAGGCAUUCAGAUUCAUACUUUUUUGGGGGUAUUUUCAUUACGAAAAAGUACGAAAAGGGUAUGUUGUAAUCGUUGUCAACAACUUCACCGUCACCUUUAGCUGGCAAGUGCAUUUCAAAUUCUGCCUUAUAAAGUAGUGUAGAAUUGCAGGAAAUAAGCUUUAAACCUGGCCUCAGCUGUCUGUUUUCAUUGAAAUCAUAAAAUCUGUACAAAUAAACAAUACAGCCACUAA